AUGGCAGAUGGCAUCUCCCAGAGUGAGGGAUAUAAAAGAGAGGGCUGAACUUUGGGGACACACGUAUUGUGGGUCAAAAUGCCUUCCCCAAUUCCAACUCAUUAGGUUUUACGGAACUAUGAGAACCAUAUCCCUUUUCUCCUUGUCAUGGUUACAGUCACCCUGUAUAUGGCAAGUGGAAGAGACAAUGGAAUGGAGGACAUUUAUUUGUCUGUGAUGGGUUUCUGAUCAAGAAUCAGAAGAAGCAUCAAGAAUCUAGUUUGGGUGGACUCCGACCAGCUCCUCUGUCAGCAUUUUUUGACGCAGUUCAGAGCAAAUAAUACCCAAAUCUUAUGGCUUACGAAAACUGGUGAAACUGAAAUAAGGCUUGAUGACAAUGCAAUGCAAUUUGGACACAGUUUCUGAGACGCCAAUUCUAGACGGCCUUUAUAGACUGCAAUUAUAAUCCAAGCGGAAUAGGACAGAAGAAACCUUUAUACCUCAUUAGAACCUGGGAGAUGAUAAGAAAUUGAGGAAUUACAGCCUCUCAUGGAAUAUAAGGAGGUUUCUCCAUGGGGAAGACAGCAUCCACUUUUUAAAGCCUUUGGCCUCAAAGGGACAUAAAGUUUUUAAGGAGAAACUGCAUUUUUGUCAAACCCAGGUUUGUUAUUUGGGGCACAUGACCCAAAUGGGCUUCAUGGUAUUGUGAAUUUCCAACCCAAAAUCAAAUACUGGCUAUUGCUGAAAGUGGGUUGUCUGGCUAUUGUUGAAACUGGAUUCCAAAAUUUUCUCUCAUGGCUAGGUCUUUAUAUGCCUUACUAAGAACAUCAAAUCUGACUCUAUUACUUGGGAAGAUUAGGAUAACCUAGCUAUUAAUACCUUAAAGAAUAGCUUGAAAAAUCUUUCUGUCACUGGACUCCCUAAUUAUCAAAUUCCCUUUUUUGCUUUUCAUAUAUGAGAAGAAAGGAUGUACUUUUGGACUACUUACCCAAAAUCAUGGGGAUCACUAUUGCCCCAUAGACUACCACAGUCAGCAGCUAGACCCUGUGACAUGGGGAUAUCUCCUUUCCUCAGAACCAUUCCUGCUAUUGUCCUCUAAGUUAGGGCCAUUGAAGAAAUAGUGGUGAUAUCCCUCGUAGCCAUUUUUGUAACCCAUUCAGUUAAAGCCCUCCAGAAUUCUCAUCAUACUCAAUACCAUUUGGCCAGUAAUUUAAACUCCUAUGCAAUCCUCUCACAGUUCUUUCUCACUGUAAUAACUUCAACACUGCCACACAUCUUUUCUGUUCAGAAUAUAAUACUCUUGAUAACUGUUGGCCAGGACACAUGGUCUUUAGACCCCUGGAGAUGAUUCAUGGGAAACUCCUCUAACCAAUGCUGAGUUUUCAUAGUUUACUGAUGGUUCUUAUUUAAAGGGAAAAAAAAAA
rnacentral:lncRNA from 1 species